UACGGAGGAUGCAAGCGUUAUCCGGAUUUAUUGGGUUUAAAGGGUGCGCAGGUUGUUUGAUAAGUCAGUGGUGAAAGUCUGUCGCUUAACGGUAGGAUUGCCAUUGAUACUGUUUAACUUGAGUUUGGAUGAGGUAGGCGGAAUGAGUAGUGUAGCGGUGAAAUGCAUAGAUAUUACUCAGAACACCGAUUGCGAAGGCGGGUAACUGGACUGCAACUGACGCUGAGGCGCGAAAGUGUGGGGAGCAAACAGGAUUAGAUA
rnacentral:rRNA from 1 species